rnacentral:rRNA from 1 species
CCUACGGGAGGCUGCAGUGGGGAAUAUUGCACAAUGGGGGAAACCCUGAUGCAGCGACGCCGCGUGAGUGAAGAAGUAUUUCGGUAUGUAAAGCUCUAUCAGCAGGGAAGAAAUAAAGUCCUUCGGACUUUGGACGGUACCUGACUAAUAAGCCCCUGCGAACUACGUGCCAGCCGCCGCGGUAAUACGUAGGGGGCAAGCGUUAUCCGGAUUUACUGGGUGUAAAGGGAGCGUAGACGGCAACGCAAGUGUGGAGGGAAAUCCCAGGGCUUAACAAUGGAACUGGUUUGGAAACUGUGCAGCUGGAGUGCAGGAGAGGUGAGCGGAAUUCCUAGUGUAGCGGUGAAAUGCGUAGAUAUUAGGAGGAACACCAGUGGCGAAGGCGGCUUACUGGACUGUAACUGACGUUGAGGCUCGAAAGCGUGGGGAGCAAACAGGAUUAGAUACCCCAGUAGUC